UACGUAGGGGGCAAGCGUUGUCCGGAAUUAUUGGGCGUAAAGCGCGUGUAGGCGGUCCGGUAAGUCGGCUGUGAAAGUCCAGGGCUCAACCCUGGGAUGCCGGUCGAUACUGCCUGACUAGAGUUCGGAAGAGGCGAGUGGAAUUCCCGGUGUAGCGGUGAAAUGCGUAGAUAUCAGGAGGAACACCGGUGGCGAAGGCGGCUUCCUGGACCACAACUGACGCUGAGGCGCGAAAGCUAGGGGAGCAAACAGG
rnacentral:rRNA from 1 species